GACGAACGCUGGCGGCGUGCUUAACACAUGCAGGUCGAGCGGUAAGGCCCCUUCGGGGGUACACGAGCGGCGAACGGGUGAGUAACACGUGAGCAAUCUGCCCAUCACAUCGGGAUAACUCCGGGAAACCGAAGCUAAUACCGAAUACGACCACCUCCGGCAUCGGCUGGUGGUGGAAAGUUCCGGCGGUGAUGGAUGAGCUCGCGGCCUAUCAGCUUGUUGGUGGGGUAACGGCACACCAAGGCUUCGACGGGUAGCCGGCCUGAGAGGGUGACCGGCCACACUGGGACUGAGACACGGCCCAGACUCCUACGGGAGGCAGCAGUGGGGAAUAUUGGACAAUGGGCGAAAGCCUGAUCCAGCAACGCCGCGUGAGGGAUGACGGCCUUCGGGUUGUAAACCUCUUUCAGCAGGGACGAAGCGCAAGUGACGGUACCUGCAGAAGAAGCACCGGCCAACUACGUG
rnacentral:rRNA from 1 species